GCCAGUUCCUCUUUUUAUUUCUCUCUGUCUCAUGCUCAUCCCUACAACUUCAAACAAGAAAGGAGCCGAGGAAAAAAAAAAAAAAGAUAACGGUCAAAUAAAUUUGAAUUUUCAUCUUUUUAUUUUUAUUUUUAUUUUUAAACCAUAUAUAUAUAUAUAUUAUGAAUUUCUCAGAAGAAGGAGAAUGGCUGUACUUUCUCUCGGAAAAAAAAAAUUUGGGGAGGGUGAGAGAUCGUUGAAGGAGGCGAUGAAGAACUGCCAACGAUCCGAGAUUUCAGGUUGACCGGCGUCUGCCAUUUCUGAUCGGAUCGUUGAAUGCUCAUUUUGUUAAUUUCUAUUAUUGGAGACGCUGCCGAUCGAACCGAAAAACGUCAUCGUCUUACCGGAAUUAUCACAGGAAGAGUGGAGAACUGGAAGAGGGGAAGCUAAGCUUGGUCUGGGGUGUUUUUAUCUGUUUUCAAGCUAAAAAAGAAAGUGUAGGGGGGGAGUUGUGUAAUUAAUGUAAAGUCUAAUGGAGGCAUAGUUCUAGGUCUAACUGAUUGAUAUGUCUUUUUCAUAGAAAAUAAUGAUUUUUUUUUUUUUUGGGUGUUUGGGUGAAGAGUAACACUCCGGGAUUGCUGGAGGUGCUCUUCACUUCUGGUGUGGGUGGGGGUGGUGGGUGUGUUGCGUUCUCUCUCCUUCUCUCUCAUUUGUUUUCUUUCCUUUUCUAUUUUUUCUCUCCAGUUUCUCUCUGUUUUACUAUCUCUGCAUUUUCUCUCUGCUUUUCCCUCUCCUCUCUCUUUGUAUGCUUUCUCUCUUGGCUAUCUCUCUAUUUCGUUUUUUCUUCACUUUCUCUUUUUUUUUUUUUUUUUUUUUUUUUUUUUUCUCUUUACUUUUUUAUCACUGCUUUUUCUUUAUACUUUUUUUUCCAAUUUUUUUUCCCUCUAUUUUCUUUCUCAACACCCUCUACUUUCUCUAUGGAUUUCUUCUAUGUUUCCUUUAUCUUUCUUUUACUGCUUUUUUUCUCUCCACAUUUUUGUUUUCUAUUUUUCUCUAACUUUUCUAUGUACUUAUGCUAUCUAGUUUACUUUCUAUGUGAAGUUGUUUUCAUAUGGUAAUUUGUGUAUUCAACAUGCUAUCAAUGCCGUUAAAAAAUUAAAUACAUAAAAAUAGCCCGUACUUUUUAUUUUAGCUAUAUCUACAAUUAUAUACCUUAAAAAAAAACAUAAAAGACAAUACGGACACAACACACACACACACACACACACACACACACACACACACACGCAAGAGAAA